GAUGAACGCUGGCGGCGUGCCUAAUACAUGCAAGUCGAGCGAACAGAUAAGGAGCUUGCUCCUUUGACGUUAGCGGCGGACGGGUGAGUAACACGUGGGUAACCUAUCUAUAAGACUGGAAUAACUCCGGGAAACCGGGGCUAAUGCCGGAUAACAUGUUGAACCGCAUGGUUCUACAGUGAAAGGCGGCUUUGCUGUCACUUAUAGAUGGACCCGCGCCGUAUUAGCUAGUUGGUGAGGUAACGGCUCACCAAGGCAACGAUACGUAGCCGACCUGAGAGGAUGAUCGGCCACACUGGAACUGAGACACGGUCCAGACUCCUACGGGAGGCAGCAGUAGGGAAUCUUCCGCAAUGGGCGAAAGCCUGACGGAGCAACGCCGCGUGAGUGAUGAAGGUCUUCGGAUCGUAAAGCUCUGUUAUUAGGGAAGAACAAAUGCGUAAGUAACUGUGCGCGUCUUGACGGUACCUAAUCAGAAAGCCACGGCUAACUACGUG
rnacentral:rRNA from 1 species